rnacentral:misc_RNA from 1 species
GAUGAAGAACGUAGCGAAAUGCGAUAAGUAAUGUGAAUUGCAGAAUUCAGUGAAUCAUCGAAUCUUUGAACGCACCUUGCGCUCCUUGGUAUUCCGAGGAGCAUGCCUGUUUGAGUGUCAUUAAAUUCUCAACUUCAUCAGUUUUGUUAUGAAACUGUGUGCAGCUUGGAUGUGGGGGCUUGCAGAGUCUGUUAUGGUAUCCUGCUCCCCUUAAAUGAAUUAGCGAGUUUAAACUGAGCUCUCUGUCUAUUGGUGUGAUAAUUAUCUACGCCGUGGAUUGAGCUUAGACUUGCUUCUAACUGUUGUCUGAAAAGACAACCUUUUGAAAAUUUGACCUCAAAUCAGGUAGGACUACCCGCUGAACUUAAGCAUAUCAAUAAGCGGAGGA